UAGGGAAUCUUCGGCAAUGGACGAAAGUCUGACCGAGCAACGCCGCGUGAGUGAAGAAGGUUUUCGGAUCGUAAAACUCUGUUGUUAGAGAAGAACAAGGACGUUAGUAACUGAACGUCCCCUGACGGUAUCUAACCAGAAAGCCACGGCUAAAUACGUGCCAGCAGCCGCGGUAAUACGUAGGAGGCAAGCGUUGUCCGGGUUUAUUGGGCGUAAAGCGAGCGCAGGCGGUUUCUUAAGUCUGAUGUGAAAGCCCCCGGCUCAACCGGGGAGGGUCAUUGGAAACUGGGAGACUUGAGUGCAGAAGAGGAGAGUGGAAUUCCAUGUGUAGCGGUGAAAUGCGUAGAUAUAUGGAGGAACACCAGUGGCGAAGGCGGCCCUCUGGUCUGUAACUGACGCUGAGGCUCGAAAGCGUGGGGAGCAAACAGG
rnacentral:rRNA from 1 species